GGGAGUAUGGCGGAACUGGGAGACGCGCCGGAUUCAAAAUCCGGUCACUUCGGUGGUGUGGGUUCGAUUCCCUCUACUCCUACCA
rnacentral:tRNA from 1 species